rnacentral:rRNA from 1 species
UACGGAGGGGGCUAGCGUUGUUCGGAAUUACUGGGCGUAAAGCGCGCGUAGGCGGACCUGCAAGUCGGGGGUGAAAGCCCGAGGCUCAACCUCGGAACUGCCUUCGAUACUGCGGGUCUCGAGUCCGGGAGAGGUGAGUGGAAUUCCUAGUGUAGAGGUGAAAUUCGUAGAUAUUAGGAAGAACACCAGUGGCGAAGGCGGCUCACUGGCCCGGUACUGACGCUGAGGCGCGAAAGCGUGGGGAGCAAACAAG